AGUCAAGGUCCUUACCUACCCGUGCGUGGGAGAGGCGCGCAGCGUGGGGCGCCAUGGUAGUGUCGAGGGGUGACUUGUCAGAAGUUCCCCUAUAAUAUAAUCGCCACUAGCCCUCACUGAGCCAAGCCUCAUAAACAGGCAGCCUAAAUAAAAACUGCGUUUGCGGUGCAAACGCCGCCUCAGGCUGAGUCCCGAGCCCUUCCGGGUUCCAGCUGAACACCAUCGCUUGUCCCCUUCCAAGGAGAGAUUUCCAAACGACAUGCUUCGGGCCUCUUCCCCCGACUCCUCAGGGGACAUCCCCAACCGGGGGCCCCGCCACAUCCGUCCUUUCCGCUGCGGAGCCGGUAUCCCAGCUUCAAGGUUGGCCUGCGCGCGGUCAUCGGGACGCGGGAGGCGCUGGCUCCGGCGGCACUGCUCUGGGCGGUCCUCUCCGGGUAGCCAGAGACCCAGGUCUCAGCCUCGCUGCGCCCCGGAAGCUGGAGGCUCCCAGGCCGCCGUGCACCUCUGGGGUGCGGGGAGCGAGGCUUUGGGCCAGGCUAUUCCCCGAGGCUGGAUUCGGUGUCAGUUAGCCAUGGCCCCCUGAGACCCAGUGGGGUCCUUUUUCAGAAAGGAGCCUAGAUGAAGGCAGGAUUUGAGAGGAGAAGGGAAGAAGGUGAGAAGCUGACGCCCCAGGGUCAUUAUGAGUUGACUGGGUGCCCCUUUCCGGGAACCCCACAGGACCAAGAGUGGCCCCGAUCUCCUGCCGCAGGAGAUAAACGACUUAGAGCUCGCACCUCCGAGCCUUCAGGCCCUGUUCUGCGGAGCGCGUCACCGCCCCCCAGGAGGAGCGAGAGCAGGUGGACCUUUGCGUCACGAUGCAUGGGUGACGGACCCGCCCCCGGAUCUCCUGCUCGCACGUUGGGGUCAGGGGCCCUCAGGAGGAAGUCCCGCUCCAAACCUGGACCUCCGCCCCGCCCCAGCUCCCGCGGGGCCCACGGGGACAGUCGGAAUCACAGCAGCUUUGAGGCACAGAAACUGCAGCGUAUGGCGGGGCCUGGGAAACCUCAGACCCGGGCAGUUGUGGGACUUCCAGGGCAGCAGUUUCAACUAGGCCCGAGAAAAUGUCCCGCAGCGGCUGGAAUCUAAGUUAGAACGGGCCGAUCAGGAAGGGCGAGCUCUCCAUCCGCAGGGGCAUGCAAGCCAGGGCUGAACGUUCACUUGGAAGGGAUGUAGGCAGGGGUCUGCACGUUGGAGCCAAGGGGCCUGCGAACCCCGCAUUUGCGAAGGGUGAAGAUGGGGCUGUUCUGCGACCCCUCGAAGGCGCUGGCCCCCCAACCUCACUGCACUGUCGGCAGCCAGAGAAGACUCCGAUUUACUUCGCUCGCGUCAGUGAAGGAAGAGCGCGGGAAAGGCCCACAUCCCUUCGCGUCAGGCCCCUCCUUCUCCCCGGCUCCCCCUGCAGCACUUAACAUGUAAAUGUACACGGUGAUUAGCCGCCAGGCCGCUAAUUACGGCUCAAGCCGUUCUUUACGGUGUCAGCGCGCAUCGUGCCACGUGGGCUGCGCGCUGCAGCGGGGCCGCGAACUGG